rnacentral:rRNA from 1 species
UACGAAGGGGGCUAGCGUUGCUCGGAAUGACUGGGCGUAAAGGGCGCGUAGGCGGAUGGCACAGUCAGAUGUGAAAUUCCCGGGCUUAACCUGGGGGCUGCAUUUGAUACGUGUUGUCUUGAGUGGGGAAGAGGGUCGUGGAAUUCCCAGUGUAGAGGUGAAAUUCGUAGAUAUUGGGAAGAACACCGGUGGCGAAGGCGGCGACCUGGUCCUUGACUGACGCUGAGGCGCGAAAGCGUGGGGAGCAAACAGG